rnacentral:misc_RNA from 1 species
ACUCUCUCAACCUUUCUCUUUCUCUUCGGAGGAGGGGCUAGGGUUGGAUUUGGACGUUUGCCGCGAGGCCUCUCGCGGCUCGUCUUGAAAUGCAUUAGCUGGUCCACCUCGGUUCAACAACGGUGUGAUAAGAAACGCUUCGUGACUGUGGCGCCGUUGUAAGCCGACCUUAGGAGGAUCGCUUCCAAUCGUCUUCGGACAGCACUCUACGUC